rnacentral:rRNA from 1 species
CAGUCGCCACGGUAAUACGUAGGGUGCGAGCGUUAAUCGGAAUUACUGGGCGUAAAGCGUGCGCAGGCGGUUCGUUAAGACAGAUGUGAAAUCCCCGGGCUCAACCUGGGAACUGCAUCUUAUACUGCGUAGCUGGAGUGCAGUAGAGGGUAGUGGAAUUUCCGGUGUAGCGGUGAAAUGCGUAGAUAUCGGAAGGAACACCAGUGGCGAAAGCGGCUCACUGGACCAUUUCUGACGCUGAUGCACGAAAGCUAGGGGAGCAAACAGGAUUAGAUACCCGAGUAGUCCCUGUCUCUUAUAA